rnacentral:rRNA from 1 species
UACGAAGGGGGCUAGCGUUGCUCGGAAUUACUGGGCGUAAAGCGCACGUAGGCGGCUUUCUAAGUCGGGGGUGAAAUCCUGGAGCUCAACUCCAGAACUGCCUUCGAUACUGGAAAGCUCGAGUCCGGGAGAGGUGAGUGGAACUGCGAGUGUAGAGGUGAAAUUCGUAGAUAUUCGCAAGAACACCAGUGGCGAAGGCGGCUCACUGGCCCGUUACUGACGCUGAGGCACGAAAGCGUGGGGAGCAAACAGG